UCCGGGGUUUCCCCGGCAGUCUCCUAUGAGUGCUCGGCAUAACCCGGUCGCAACAUAGGAUGAGGGUUGCGCUCGUUGCGGGACUUAACCCAACACCUCACGGCACGAGCUGACGACAGCCAUGCAACACCUGUCCCGGUUCCCGAUUUUACGGGUGGGCCACCCUUUCAGGCGCCUACAUCCGGAAUGUCAAGCCUGGGUAAGGUUCUUCGCUUUGCAUCGAAUUAAGCAACGCGCUCCGCCGCUAGUGCGGGCCCCCGUCAAUUCCUUUGAGUUUCAGCCUUGCGGCCGUACUCCCCAGGCGGGGUACUUCAUGCGUUGGCGCCGGCACUCAGGGGGUCGCUCCCCCAAGCACCUAGUACCCAUCGUUUACGGCGUGGACUAC
rnacentral:misc_RNA from 1 species